GAUGAAGAACGUAGCGAAAUGCGAUAAGUAAUGUGAAUUGCAGAAUUCAGUGAAUCAUCGAAUCUUUGAACGCACAUUGCGCCCGCCAGCGUUCUGGCGGGCAUGCCUGUUCGAGCGUCAUUUCAACCCUCGAGCCCCCCCGGGGGCCUCGGUGUUGGGGGACGGCACACCAGCCGCCCCCGAAAUGCAGUGGCGACCCCGCCGCAGCCUCCCCUGCGUAGUAGCACACACCUCGCACCGGAGCGCGGAGGCGGUCACGCCGUAAAACGCCCAACUUUCUUAGAGUUGACCUCGGAUCAGGUAGGAAUACCCGCUGAACUUAAGCAUAUCAAUAAGCGGAGGA
rnacentral:misc_RNA from 1 species